CCAACCAUUUAUCUUCCCAAAAAAUUAAGAUGAUUUCACUAAUUAAAUUGAACCUUUCUAUACGAAGAGAAUGGUUCUUGAUUCCCAUAAGACUAAGGCCUUGUUUAGUUCCCAAAAAAUUUUGCAAAACUUUUCAGAUUUCCCGUCACAUCGAAUCUUUAGACGUAUGCAUGGAGUAUUAAAUAUAGACGAAAAUAAAAACUAAUUGCACAGUUUGGUCGAAAUUGACGAUACGAAUCUUUUGAGCCUAGUUAGUCCAUGACUGAACAAUAUUUAUCAAAUACAAACGAAAGUGCUCGAUUUUGCAAAAUUUUUUGGAACUAAACAAGGCCUAAACAAAAAAUGUGAGAGUGAGUCACUAUUUUUCUUAUUUACUUGGUUCAAUAUAUUUUAUUCAUAAAAGUCCUGCCACGUCCCCUCCUUAUUGUAUAGCUCGAAGAGCCAUUUACUUAAAAUGACAGUUCUAUACUUUGAAUUUUCAGACCUUUUUGGCCUUGUUCGUUUGGUUGAUAAGCCAUGACAAAAAGUAUUGUUGGCUGAUUUGUUGUGAGAGAAAAACACUGUUGAAUGACUGA
rnacentral:lncRNA from 1 species